UUCAAAGCCAACCUAGUGAUUCUGGGGCUGAAGUUGGCGAAGCUGCUGGUGUACGCAUAGAAGGCAAUGCGCGAGUGAACAUUUAUCAGCACGGAAAUAUUUCGGCAACACAAACUCAAUCUCAACAAAAUCAGGACCUGUCACGAAACCUCCUACCAAAUUACGAAAGACGUAGCCAUAGGAGAAGAUCGAGUGAUUCAGUAAUUCGACUUUAUGAACAACGCGAAAAUGAACCUCCUAGGUGCAGCUGUUCCGUGAUUUGAUUUCCAUGCAAAGAACAACAGCAGGACAAUGCUCAAAUAUAUGAAUAUGAAGGUCGCUCAUUGGUACCGGCUGGAAUAUGGCCGGGUGAGCGUGGCGACAUAAAUAUGGUUUAAAUAAGUGUGGAUGAAACAUUGAGCAGCUAACAAAGCUUUAAUGAGAUUUGACAAAUAAAAAUGACAUUAGUUACGAAGCAUUGUUCACGACACAGCCCUAAUGAAAACACCAAGAACCAAACGAAAAAUACAACAACAAGUAAGCAAAACGUUCCAUAGGUACAUUUCGUGUCCAGUUUAUGCUGGAAGGACAUUGCUGAUGUCUCAUCAUUAAAUUCAUUAUCGAUGGCCAACGCGAAACAGCUAAUGAAUAAAAUUACUUACUGUUUUACACUUUUUUCACAGGAAAGUUGCUCGUUUCAGCCCUGGAAAUACUUGUUUUCACUCUUUCAUUACUAGAUGUCAACUAUAAUAUAACAACUAUUUAACUGAAUACAACAUGAAAACCUUUUUUUCAUUCCUAAUCGCCAAUGGUUUCUCAUUCUCUAAAAGGUUUACCGAAUAUUUUUCUUUGUCACAAUUUGUUAUAUUAAUACAUUAUUAAUUUAUGUCAGAAACGUUGGCUCUUGACAAGUUUCGUACGAUUAGUACAUAAAUGUUUUAACUUCGUCCAAGAGUUCGCAAUUCAGUUGAAAUUUUGGAUUUAUCUUCGCGCAUAUUGUUCCUCAAGCAUUGCUGACGUAACUAUCGAAUACGGCUAUUUAUUCUGCAGGCUUACAGCGAAAGGUGCGAAUGAUUGCCUUACAAGGCCAUAGCUUUAAAAUUAUUUGACAAGUAGUAUUGAAUAGUGAUUAGAUAAAAACUAUAAAAAGUAGAUAUAAAUCACCGUGCGAAUUUUCGGUGUAUGUUUGAUACUGCUGAGG